rnacentral:lncRNA from 1 species
CACCUGAGGUUACGGGUUCGAGGUCAGCCUGGUCAUCACGGGGAAAACCCACCUCAUUUAAAAAAAAGAGAAAAAGAAAAAGAAAAGAAAUCAGAAAGACCAGUGUGUACAAUUUUAGAAAACGAGGUGCUGGAUGACUCCAUUCCAUGACCUGUCUUUCUUUAUGACGCAGUGUUUUCCUCUUAUCACUCAGGCUGAAGUGCAAUGGUGCGAUCUUGGCUUAUUGCAAAAUCUGCUUCCUUGGUUCAAGCGAUUGUCAUGCCACAGCCUCCAAAAUAGCUGGGACUGCAGGUGUCUACACCACCAUGUCCAGCUAAGGAAGCAGGUUUUGCUUUGUCGUUCAAGCCCUGUAUCGAACAUGUGACCUCACGAUCCACUCACCUCGGCCUUCCAAAUUGCUUGGAUUACAGGCGUGAUUGACUGAGCCCAACCUAAGUUUUGCUUUCAUUUUAAAGACAAGGUUUCACCAUGUUGGUCGGGCCAGUCUCAAACCCACAAUCAUGGGUGACCCACCUGCCUUGGACUUCAAAGCGCUUGGAUGAGAAACUCACGUGAGCCACCGAGCCCAGCAGGCCGACUUUAUUGUUAAAAAAUUAAUCAGAGAGACUGGGUCCAGUGUGACUCACACCAACAAUCUCCAGAGGUCACAAGUUCGAGGUCAGCCUGGGAAUCCUGGGGAAAACUCACCUCAUUUUGGAAAAAGGAAAAAGUACACAGGAGGCGGCUCCAGAAGAUGGUGCAGUAGGAGCAACUCAGGAUUGCAGCUCUCAGUGAAUGCACAGAGGCCUGCCAUUGCCAAAGCAAACCUCCAUUACAGAGAGGUUUUGCCAAUACAGAGGCAGGCCACCAUAAUCACACCCAUAUAAACAGGACUACAAAGAAUUACACCCGGAAGCAAAGCAGAUCCCACAACAACAGGGAGGAGCCUAUGACAGUAGGGGAGAGCCCACAGCAAAAAGGCAGAGCUCACAACAGCAGGGCGGAGCCCACAGCAGCAGGGAGGAGCCAACAGCAGCAGGGCAAAGCCCACAGAAACAAGGCGGACACCACGGCAGCAGGGCAGAGCCUCAGCAGGCAAAUAGUGACUAGACUGCCUCCUAGCUGGGCAGGACAGUGCAACAGACACUUAUAAAGAAAGCCCUAACUCCCCAAGACAGAGCAUCUGAGAAAAAAAGGUUUGAUGAGUUCUGCUGCAGCAGACCUAAACGUACCUGCCUGACAUUCAGUGGGCAUUAUUCUGUAAAAAAGAUAGCAGAAGAAAGAACUGGUAGCAUCCCUCACAGUUCCACAGCUGCUACAAGUGUACCCCAGAGAGCAGUGCCUGGAGUGGACCUCAGCAGUCAUACAGCAGAGGGGCUAGACUGUUAGAAGGAAAACUAAGUAACAGAAAUACUCCAUCAUCAACAAUCUGGGCGUCCACUCAGAGACCCAAUCGAAAAGCCAGCAACUACUCAGAUGACAGGUGGAUAAACCCACAAAGAUGGGAAGAAAUUAUCGCAAAAAGGAGGAAAACACCCCAAACCAAAACACCUCGCCUCCUACAAAAAACUAAAACUCCUCACCAGCAAGGGAACAAAGCUGGACGGAGAAUGAGUGUGAUGAAAUAACGGAAUCAGACUUCAGAAGGUGGGUAAUGAGAAACUUCUGUGAGCUAAAGAAACAUGUUCUAAAUCAAUGAAAAGAAACUAAGAACCUUGAAAAAUAAUUGAAAAAAGAUUCAAGGAAAUGAUAACAAGAAUAAAUAACUUAGGGAGGAAUAUGAAUGAAUUGAAGGAGUUGAAAAACAACACGAGAACUUCACAAAGCAUGCACAAGUUUCAACAGCUGAAUUGACAAAGCAGAAAAAAGAAUAUCAGAAGUCAAAGAUCAACUCAAUGAAAUAAAACAAGAAACCAAGGUUAGAGAGAAAAGCACAAAAAGGAAUAAAUGAAGACUCCAAGAAAUGUGGGACUAUGUGAGGAGACCUAACCUACGCUUGAUACGUGUACCAGAAUGUGAUGAAAAGAAUGAAUACAAGCUGGAAAACACUCUUCAGGAUAUUACCCAGGAAAAUUUCCCCAAACUAGCAAGGCAGGCCAAUAUUCAAGUCCAGGAAAUACAGAGAACACCACAAAGAUAUUUCACAAGAAGAGCAACACCAAGGCACAUAAUCGUCAGAUUCACCA